AAUGGCUUGCCCUAAGUCAUACAGCAAUGAAAGGCAGAUGUGAGACUCCAGCUCAAGUCAGUAGAGGAAGAAGGAGGGAUAGAGUGUUAGAAACAUCGAUGAGAGAGAAUCAUCGAUCAGCUGCUUCCUGCACACCUCCUACUGAGAAUGUGCCCGCAACCCAGGUUGCAAAAUGGUGAUUUUCUACUUCUAGCAUUCAUUUUGAG